CACCCGAUAGCACAAGGUGUGCGUCUGCCAAAUUUAAGGAGUACAGUUUAUAGUUUCAGCAGAAGGCCCCGGUUCGAUUCCGGGUCGGGUGA